AUUGAACGCUGGCGGCAUGCCUUACACAUGCAAGUCGAACGGCAGCACGGGUGCUUGCACCUGGUGGCGAGUGGCGAACGGGUGAGUAAUACAUCGGAACAUGUCCUGUAGAGGGGGAUAGCCCGGCGAAAGCCGGAUUAAUACCGCAUACGAUCUACGGAUGAAAGCGGGGGACCUUCGGGCCUCGCGCUAUAGGGUUGGCCGAUGGCUGAUUAGCUAGUUGGUGGGGUAAAGGCCUACCAAGACGACGAUCAGUAGCUGGUCUGAGAGGACGACCAGCCACACUGGGACUGAGACACGGCCCAGACUCCUACGGGAGGCAGCAGUGGGGAAUUUUGGACAAUGGGCGAAAGCCUGAUCCAGCAAUGCCGCGUGUGUGAAGAAGGCCUUCGGGUUGUAAAGCACUUUUGUCCGGAAAGAAAUCCUUGGCCCUAAUACGGUCGGGGGAUGACGGUACCGGAAGAAUAAGCACCGGCUAACUACGUG
rnacentral:rRNA from 1 species